rnacentral:antisense_RNA from 1 species
UGGCCGUAGCUCCAUCGCAUUUUAUGUUUCUGGCGAGAAGGGAACGGAGUUUUCAUCAGGUAGAUUGGUUUUUGUGCGGCCGUCCUCCACCGUUUCCUCCAGGACAGCACCUAGUCGUGGCCGGAGGAGUCUCAGAGCUGUCAGAAAGAAUAAGACUGAUUUUAUGGGAAAAUUAAGCAAAUGCUCCAGUUUGAGAAACCUGGAUCUGCGAUCUGUUUGUGGUACCAGCAUCAAGAUGAUUUAUGGUAAUAAGAUAUAAAACCAAGGAAAAUAACCUAAAGUCUGAAAAAGACCAGAAUCGAAGUUUCCUGAUUCAUAUUUUAAUGUUUUGAAAUUUAUACUCCAGGCUGGGUGCAGUGGCUUGUGCCUGUAAUCCCAGCACUUUGGGAGGCCGAGGCGGCCGGAUUGCCUGAAGUCAGAAGUUCAAGACCAGCCUGACCAACACGGUGAAACCCUGUCUCUACUUAAAAAUACGAAAGAGCUGGGCAUGGAGGUGGUGCGCGCCUGUAACCCUAGCUACUCGGGAGGCUGAGGCCUAAGAAUCUCUUGAACCCAGGAGGCAGAGGUUGUAGUGAGCCGGGAUCACGCCACUGCACUCUAGCCUGGGCGACAGAGAGAGAGACUGUCUUAAAAAAAAAAAAAAAAAAAAAGGAAAAGAAAAAAAUUUAUACGCCAAAAAAGAUAUUCUGAGAUAACCUGUAGUUACCACUAACUUUGUGACAAAAUUAUAAAAAUCCACAGCCAUCUAUGAAUCUGUAGGCAGACCUGAAGUUUGAACAACUGGUGAAGACAUCUGAUUUUCUUUAUAGCCAAGUUAGGAUAACAAAAUGCAAACAAGUCAUUAAUAUUUACUAUAUGCAAGAUACAGAAAGAUGAAGGAAGGAGUAAGAAGUUAUCCUUCGUGGAACUAUUCAAAGCAAAAAUGCAAAAUACCAGGGAAAGCUUUGAAGAACCAAGAUUUGAGCAGGUUCUUAGAAUAUAGAUUGGAUUGGAUUUGAUUUCAAGAAAGAUGAACAUGUAAAGCAGAAGUGGGAAGCCAAAAACUUUUUUCCAAA